UUCUCAUUAUUGCUUCGCGACCUUGUCCUUGGACCGAGAUCCGCACUAGCCCAUCUCCCUGCCGCUCGUCGACGGCGGCGGGGUCCAGAUCCGGUGCUCCUCCCCCUCCCAAUCCAUCUUCCAGGCAGGCUCAGCCUCCAGGCGCCCCUCGACGCCGCACUGCACCUCAUCGACCAGGACCCUGGUCGCCGCCGCCACGGUCUCCUCCUCCCUGGUGGCCGCGGACGCCAACUCGUGCAUCUGCCCAGGAAUCCAUGAGGCACCACCUGGCCGUCUCUGUGGCGGAUUACGACAGAUUUGCGACCAAGCUCAAGACCCCCGGCACAGACUUGUUCGCCAAGACGCAACCCGAUGGCCGCGCGCGCCAAGUGUUCUUCCUCGACCGGGACGCAUUUGUAAGGGAGUGGUGUUCCAUGAUGUAAGGGCGUGCUCUGAUAAAAACAUGACAUGACAAUAGAGGUUUGUGCUUCUUGUUGCUUCGAAGCUACCACUUCAUCGUCUUGCUAUUACUGCCAUCGAAUUGUUGUUAUUGAAAUUUGAUCAAUUGGCUGACAACUAGACAUUUUGAUAAUGCUUGCCCAACUAUGUUAAAGUAGUGUUUGUCGAAUAUUACCUUAGGGUAUCAAUUUAGAAAAAUGGAGGAAUUGAAAAGUUAUAACAGGAAUGUACAAAAACAUUAAAGACAAGAACUUUAUAUGAAGCUUCAGUUCCUGUCUGUAUUCUCCUUUUCUGAGAUUUAAUAUGAAGCUUUAGUUCCUACACUAAUUACAGUUCAUGUCUUCUACUACAGUUAUUGUCCAUAUGCAUGUUGCUCUCAUGUAGGUUGGUCCAUUGACAAAACCAUUUGCUCUUUGAUGUUCCAAGUUUGGUGUCUAGAAAAAGGAGAUCCAGGCUUGGAGUUGUAAUAGGUCCUAAUGAACCUACGUAGGUGUGCUUCCUUUCUAUGUAGUGAAAAAUAAUGCCGUGCCGCCACCUCAUCUAUGAUAACUAUCUAUUCAGAUUUAUCUAAUUAUGCAAGAAACCAACUAUUUAUAUCUUCCAAUACAUCAAGCUGAUAGUCUCAGGAAUCUGAAAUCAGCUUAAAUCAUAACACUCAUGUAUUCGUCAAAGAGCUUUGUUAUGGCAUAUAUACUAAAUCAUGAAGAACAUUUGGAUGCAAAGCACCCAUGUUCCUGAGAGAAACCCAUGCUGUACAUUUCCGUUCUCUCAUUUUUACUUUGCGAAGUUAUCUCAAGCAUAUGCUUUUAGUUUUGUGCAGGUAGAUUUGACAACUGGAUGCCCAGGCUUAGAUAGGAACUGAGAUGACAUAGCAGCGGAAGAACACGAUGAUUUUCCAGUUCAUUUCAUUAGCACUUUGAUUUAUUGAGGGCGGCGAAGUGAAGGAAGCUCUGUGUGCGAAAAUAAACACACCUUUGUGUGUAAAAAGUGUACUGAUGGAUUUUCUGUGUAACUGGUAUUUCUGUUCACGCUUAAGAAGUGCUUCAUAAUGGCCGAAUUGUACAGUUCAAGUUGAGUGUGUUAAUCAUUAUCUAUAAUAAAUCAGGUUUCUGAAUUUUGUGUCACU